CACCGAGAACACGCGGGCAGACGCAUUAAUUGGACUUGCGUUUUACGUCUCAUUAACCACGAUUUUCCUGCUACUUCGUUAUCUGGUUUGUUUAAAUUAAUUGCCGCGCUCCGCUCAAGGAAGUCUUAUUUACCAGAUACGCGCCGCAUCGGUGCCGGGAUCGGCGCCUAACCUCGUCGAAACGUGCGAUUCUAUUCUUCGGGAUCUAUCUAAAAGACUCGUUAACAUUUUUGUAAGCAGGGGAUGUAUAUCGAGGAGAUUCAAAAACUACGAGGGAAGGACACCUCAUUGGUCGUACAGAAUUUUUAAAUGCUUAUACGAAGGUUCCUUGAAUGCAAAUGAAAUAAUUGCACACUCCAAAGAUGUCGCUGCCCCAUCGUAAAAUUUCCGAGUCCAAAGCCGCCUCGAGGUCGUAACAUGGUACAUCGUCGAACUCACCUUGAUAUCAACUAUGAAGUUAAAAAUAGGAGGACGUAAACAGCUUCCACAAUAGCGCAACACUUGUGCCUACAGUCAAUGCAACAGGAGUCCACGUCGAUUUAUCUUGACAAUAUUCCGCUCUCGUGAUUCCGAGGACUUGCGUGUCCGAUUAAUAGCCGAACCGCUGGUGCUCCGGCCGGUUGGUGGCAAGCUCGAGGAAGACGGAGACCGCCGGGCGUAGAAACGACGAGGACACCCUGGUUUAUGCUCACUGUCUGGCUCACGACAGGGAGUGGGAGGAGGAACACGCACACACGGCCGCAUAAAUAACGCGUGUGCACACAGAGGAUCGGAGUUACGGUACGGCUUACGUGCAAACGAACGAAGCGAGACAAGGCGAGCGCCCAGUGGGACGAGGACGCGAUCACGGGUCGCGGAACGCUGGAAACAAGGACGAAAGAGGAUGUAGUCGGCGGACAUUUACGAAGGGAACCGAGUCCCUCCAACAUGUAGGAGAGCCCGUAGUACACACAGAGAGGGGUAUAUCGAUUUUACGACGUUCGAUCACCUGAACGAAGAUUUUUCGAGCGCCGCGAGGAGCGGAGGGAACUUCGAACCAUCGUCACUCGCCACGGUAUCCAUCAAUGAAUAAAUACGUCUACGGACGCGUCAAUCGACCGGGAGGCAUCUUGGAAAUGCCUCUGUCGAAGUAUAUCUUUGCAUUGGAUUCCAAUUUGUAUCAUUUCUUUUACGUAAACGAAAAUCUCUACACUUCGGAUAUGUGGACAGUAGAAAUGGGUUCUGUUCUCCAUUCUUGAAGAGACCGGCACGGAGUGUCGUAGAGCAUAAUAAAUAAAUGUACAGGAGGUGUACUGUUCGUUCUAAUUUGCUCAUUUGUACGCAAAGGUGUCAAGGAGAUUUCAAGGUCUGCAACUUUUUUUUAAACGGAACAACCUGUACGUUUCUCUGUAUGCAGAAGCAGCGUAGUCUACAUUCGGUCGAUUUUAACGACCAUGGUCACGCAAGGUCAAUAAAGGUCGUAGAUAAUAAUAAAUAAGCUUCCGUGUAGGGUUCAUUCGCGAACGACGCAAAAUUCCAGUAUUUAUUUGAUCUAUUUUGGGAACCAUAAAUCGCGAGACCGUAGAGAUACCGAUCUGUUUAACACGUCUAGGUUAAUUUUUAUGAAAAAAAUUUCCGACAAACCUUAAGACCUCGUUUGUUUCGGUUGACAGUUUUUCUCGGAAUAUUGCGUAGGCGAAUAAUCGUUGGGAUUUCACAAUUGCGACUUAUUAGAGAUAAUUAUGAAUUUUCUGUGGAAGUGUAUACACGGUAACGAGUACAUCCACACGGGCGAAACUUCCUUUGCGAAACGUGGUUCUGUUUGCAAUUUUUCCGAGAACGUUACGCAAACGAUUAGGAAGAUAUGUUGGUUUAAUGCUUGCCAAUUUUUGUAACGCCCUCAGGGGCUGUAGCUAUGCCCGAUUGCAGCUACAGUACGGGUUUACCGAUCCCGAGGUACCCGAGCUAUAACUAACGAUCGAAGUCAAGAAUGAAUGGUUGCCUUAAUAAAAUU